AGAGCUAAAAGGCACACGGGGAACUAAAUUGACUGCAGGUGGGUCCGCAAGGGGUGGGAGCUCGCGAUCUAAACCGCGAAGAGAUCUUGGGGUCUUACACUACGCCAUUAGACUGCGGCACUCCUCUGUCCGCAGCAGCUGCUCUAAGAGUCCUUGCCACCGCCGCUCUUGCCCAGGCCUCUACUGCGGCUUCCACCUUUGCGGGAUCACAGCAGCCCAGCCCAACCCCGUCCUGCGCUACUGCUGCCUUCGCCGCUGCCACCUCCUCAGCCUCGGCCUCCGCCACCACCCAAGCAUCCUUUUGAAUGGGGGCAACUGUUUGCUGAAGUGUGAUGUGUGAAGAGGUGGAAAGAAAUGAACUCAAGCAUCUCAGAAGUUUCAAUUCAGGCAAUUCCAGUUGUGAAAGCAAUAUUUGGUCCUCCCUUAUGUCUCCUGGCAUCAUAAUUGGAAGUCAACUCUGAUUUAGCUGGCAUGUUUUCUCACUGAAAAAGAAUAAAUAAACCACAUGUUUCAUCA